rnacentral:rRNA from 1 species
AGUGAACGCUGGCGGUAGGCCUAACACAUGCAAGUCGAACGGCAGCACAGUAAGAGCUUGCUCUUACGGGUGGCGAGUGGCGGACGGGUGAGGAAUACAUCGGAAUCUACUUUUUCGUGGGGGAUAACGUAGGGAAACUUACGCUAAUACCGCAUACGACCUACGGGUGAAAGCAGGGGAUCUUCGGACCUUGCGCGAUUGAAUGAGCCGAUGUCGGAGUAGCUAGUUGGCGGGGUAAAGGCCCACCAAGGCGACGAUCCGUAGCUGGUCUGAGAGGAUGAACAGCCACACUGGAACUGAGACACGGUCCAGACUCCUACGGGAGGCAGCAGUGGGGAAUAUUGGACAAUGGGCGCAAGCCUGAUCCAGCCAUACCGCGUGGGUGAAGAAGGCCUUCGGGUUGUAAAGCCCUUUUGUUGGGAAAGAAAAGCAGCAGGUUAAUACCCCGCUGUUCUGACGGUACCCAAAGAAUAAGCACCGGCUAACUUCGUG